rnacentral:rRNA from 1 species
GACGAACGCUGGCGGCGUGCUUAACACAUGCAAGUGGAGCGACGAACCAGGCUUCGGCCUGGGGCAGAGCCGCGAACGGGUGAGUAACACGUGGGUAACGUGCCCCGAUGACUGGGACAACCCGGGGAAACCCGGGCUAAUACCGGAUAUGCCCCCUCACGCGAGUGAGGUGUGUAAAGGAAGCUUCGGCCUCCGCAUCGGGAUCGGCCCGCGGCCCAUUAGCUUGUUGGUGAGGUAACGGCUCACCAAGGCUUCGAUGGGUAGCUGGUCUGAGAGGACGAUCAGCCACACUGGGACUGAGACACGGCCCAGACUCCUACGGGAGGCAGCAGUGGGGAAUCUUGCGCAAUGCGCGAAAGCGUGACGCAGC